rnacentral:miRNA from 14 species
AUAAUGUCAUGAUGUCAUGCCAUGCCUUUUGAAAAAAAUCAUAUGUAUGAGUUUGUGUGUGUGUUUGUGUGUGUGUAUAUACAUAUACAUGCACAUACACAUACACAUACACAUACACAUAAAC